rnacentral:lncRNA from 12 species
GAAAAGCAUUACGUUGGAAUGCUAAUAGUGAGAUAAAAGGACACAGUGUAUACAGUGUGCAAAGUAUAUCUGUUCAGAAGAGAGACUGUUCCUUCUGCUGAUCUGCCUACAUCUGCAAAGGGAAUGCACUGACCUCCACUCUCUUUUGAGUGUCCUGUUCCAG